rfam:Brachypodium distachyon strain Bd21 chromosome 4, whole genome shotgun sequence.
GGUGUACUCCCUCCAUUUAACAAAAGAUGUCUCAAGUUUGUCAAAAUUUGGAUGUAUCUAGACAUGACUUAGUGUAUAGAUGCAUUCAAAUUUUAGUCAAAAUUGAGACAUCCUUUGACGGAGGAAGUAUCAU